CUGGUCCCCACCUGGACCUCACCCAGACCUGGUGACUGUGGUCCCCACCUGGACCUCGCCCAGACCUGGUGACUGUGGUCCCCACCUGGGCCUCA
rnacentral:miRNA from 1 species